CUGGUCUGUAUCAAAAGACAGAAUCUUGAUGACUAAGACAUUUUCUUUGGGUUUGAAGUCUCCAGAGCAGCAAAGAGAGUGGGGAGUAGAACUCAUCAUCUUUAGGUCACUCAGCAUCGA
rnacentral:lncRNA from 1 species